rnacentral:ncRNA from 1 species
ACUAUUGCAUUGAGAAGAUAAGUAAUCCGUUAGUAGUUUUCAGAAAGCCAACGUUGAUGCGAGUUGGCAGCGAAAUACGGAUGAAAAUGGUCUUUGAGCAACGAGGGUGUGAGUGGUUUACCGCAAGCAUUUUCCGGGUGCGCCCGUUAUCGCGUUAGACUAUAAUCUGAGGAUCAUUUUCCAAAAUGACGUAGUCGUUAAGUACAUUAAAGGUGACUUUUUUGUAAAAAGCGAGUGGUAACACGAAUUAUCGUCCCGCAA